rnacentral:rRNA from 1 species
UGGGGAAUAUUGGACAAUGGGCGAAAGCCUGAUCCAGCCAUGCCGCGUGUGUGAAGAAGGUCUUCGGAUUGUAAAGCACUUUAAGUUGGGAGGAAGGGCAGUAAGCGAAUACCUUGCUGUUUUGACGUUACCGACAGAAUAAGCACCGGCCAACUCUGUGCCAGCAGCCGCGGUAAUACAGAGGGUGCAAGCGUUAAUCGGAAUUACUGGGCGUAAAGCGCGCGUAGGUGGUUCGUUAAGUUGAAUGUGAAAGCCCCGGGCUCAACCUGGGAACUGCAUCCAAAACUGGCGAGCUGGAGUGGGGCAGAGGGUGGUGGAAUUUCCUGUGUAGCGGUGAAAUGCGUAGAUAUAGGAAGGAACACCAGUUGGGAAGGCGACCACCUGGGCUCAUACUGACACUAAGGUGCGAAAGCGUGGGGAGCAAACAGG